rnacentral:rRNA from 1 species
CCACCCCUACGGGACGCAGCAGUGGGGAAUAUUGCACAAUGGGGGAAACCCUGAUGCAGCAACGCCGCGUGAGUGAAGAAGUAUCUCGGUAUGUAAAGCUCUAUCAGCAGGGAAGAAAAUGACGGUACCUGAAGAAUAAGCUCCGGCUAACUACGUGCCAGCAGCCGCGGUAAUACGUAGGGAGCAAGCGUUAUCCGGAUUUACUGGGUGUAAAGGGCGUGUAGGCGGGCCUGCAAGUCAGAAGUGAAAUCUGGGGGCUUAACCCCCAAACUGCUUUUGAAACUGUGGGUCUUGAGUGAUGGAGA